rnacentral:tRNA from 1 species
GUCGCGGUGGCUGAGAGGUUAAGCGCUUGGCUUCCGAACCGGGGGUCCCGGGUUCGAAUCCUGGUGAAGACU